rnacentral:rRNA from 1 species
AAGAGAUCGGGAUAACACCUGGAAACAGAUGCUAAUACCGGAUAACAACAGAUGAUGCCUAUCAACUGUUUAAAAGAUGGUUCUGCUAUCACUCUUGGAUGGACCCGCGGUGCAUUAGCUAGUUGGUAGGGUAACGGCCUACCAAGGCGAUGAUGCAUAGCCGAGUUGAGAGACUGAUCGGCCACAUUGGGACUGAGACACGGCCCAAACUCCUACGGGAGGCAGCAGGC